UACAGAGGUGGCAAGCGUUGUUCGGAAUUACUGGGCGUAAAGGGCGCGUAGGCGGUCUGGUCAGUCCCUUGUGAAAUCCCCCGGCUCAACUGGGGAACUGCACGGGAAACAGCCGGGCUUGAGUUCGGGAGAGGGAAGCGGAAUUCCGGGUGUAGCGGUGAAAUGCGUAGAUAUCCGGAGGAACACCGGUGGCGAAGGCGGCUUCCUGGACCGAUACUGACGCUGAGGUGCGAAAGCGUGGGGAGCAAACGGG
rnacentral:rRNA from 1 species